ensembl:snRNA U2 U2 spliceosomal RNA
AUCGCUUCUUGGCCUUUUGGCUAAGAUCAAGUGUAGAAACAGUACUGACUCCGGCCUGAUAGGCCAUAAGAUUAAAUGAGAUUAUUAGGUAUGGAAGCUGUCACAGAGCUUGGCAUAUCUGCUGUGGAGUCUGGGUCGUAC